rnacentral:rRNA from 1 species
GCAUAUCAAUAAGCGGAGGAAAAGAAACCAACCGGGAUUGCCUUAGUAACGGCGAGUGAAGCGGCAAAAGCUCAAAUUUGAAAUCUGGUACCUUCGGUGCCCGAGUUGUAAUUUGGAGAGGGCAACUUUGGGGCCGUUCCUUGUCUAUGUUCCUUGGAACAGGACGUCAUAGAGGGUGAGAAUCCCGUGUGGCGAGGAGUGCGGUUCUUUGUAAAGUGCCUUCGAAGAGUCGAGUUGUUUGGGAAUGCAGCUCUAAGUGGGUGGUAAAUUCCAUCUAAAGCUAAAUAUUGGCGAGAGACCGAUAGCGAACAAGUACAGUGAUGGAAAGAUGAAAAGAACUUUGAAAAGAGAGUGAAAAAGUACGUGAAAUUGUUGAAAGGGGAGGGCAUUUGAUCAGACAUGGUGUUUUGUGCCCUCUGCUCCUUGUGGGUAGGGGAAUCUCGCAUUACACUGGGCCAGCAUCAGUUUUGGUGGCAGGAUAAAUCCAUAGGAAUGUAGCUUGCCUCGGUAAGUAUUAUAGCCUGUGGGAAUACUGCCAGCUGGGACUGAGGACUGCGACGUAAGUCAAGGAUGCUGGCAUAAUGGUUAUAUGCCGCCCGUCUUGAAACACGGACC